UACAGGGGCCCCAAGCGUUACUGAGAAUCACUGGGUUUAAAGGGUGCGUAGGUGGCGCGUUAAGUCCGUUGUGAAAUCCCUGGGCUCAACCCAGGAAUUGCUUCGGAUACUGGCGUGCUUGAGGCUAGUAGGGGUCACUGGAACUGACGGUGGAGCGGUGAAAUGCGUAGAUAUCGUCAGGAACGCCGAUGGUGAAGACAGGUGACUGGGCUAGUUCUGACACUGAGGCACGAAAGCGUGGGGAGCGAACGGG
rnacentral:rRNA from 1 species